rnacentral:misc_RNA from 1 species
GAUGAAGAACGCAGCGAAAUGCGAUAAGUAGUGUGAAUUGCAGAAUUCAGUGAAUCAUCGAAUCUUUGAACGCACAUUGCGCCCCUUGGUAUUCCAUGGGGCAUGCCUGUUCGAGCGUCAUUUGUACCUUCAAGCUCUGCUUGGUGUUGGGUGUUUGUCUCGCCUCUGCGCGCAGACUCGCCUCAAAACGAUUGGCAGCCGGCGUAUUGAUUUCGGAGCGCAGUACAUCUCGCGCUUUGACAACAAAACGACGACGUCCAAAAAGUACAUUUUUUACACUCUUGACCUCGGAUCAGGUAGGGAUACCCGCUGAACUUAAGCAUAUCAUAAGCGGAGGA